rnacentral:rRNA from 1 species
AAGUUGUUGCAGUUAAAAAGCUCGUAGUUGGAUUUCUGGGAGGGUGCCAAUGUCCGCCGACGCGCGUGCGCAGCGGCGCCCUUCCAUCCUUCUGUUAACGCCUCUUGGCAUUCACUUGCUGGUGGCGGGCUCAGAUAUUUUACCUUGAGAAAAUUAGAGUGUUUCAGGCAGGCUAGGCCGGAAUACAUUAGCAUGGAAUAAUGGAAUAGGACUACGGUCUCUUUGUUGGUUUGAGGGACUGCAGUAAUGAUUAAUAGGGAUAGUUGGGGGCAUUAGUAUUUAAUUGUCAGAGGUGGAAUUCUCGGAUUUGUUAAAGACUAACUUAUGCGAAAGCAUUUGCCAAGGAUGUUUUCAUUAAUCA